UUUAAUUUAAUUCUAGUGGCGGACGGGUGAGUAACGCGUGGGUAACCUGCCUUAUACAGGGGGAUAACAACCAGAAAUGGUUGCUAAUACCGCAUAAGCGCACAGGACCGCAUGGUCCGGUGUGAAAAACUCCGGUGGUAUAAGAUGGACCCGCGUCUGAUUAGCUUGUUGGUGAGGUAACGGCCCACCAAGGCGACGAUCAGUAGCCGACCUGAGAGGGCGGACGGCCACAUUGGGACUGAGACACGGCCCAAACUCCUACGGGAGGCAGCAUG
rnacentral:rRNA from 1 species